GUACCCAGUUCGGACUGCAGGCUGCAACCCGCCUGCACGAAGCCGGAGUUGCUAGUAAUCGCGAAUCAGAAUGUCGCGGUGAAUGCGUUCCCGGGUCUUGUACACACCGCCCGUCACACCAUGGAAGUUGGGGUGCCCAAAGCCGGCAAGCAAAUAUGCUGUCUAAGGCAAAACCAAUGACUGGGGUGAAGUCGUAACAAGGUACC
rnacentral:rRNA from 1 species